GAAGAUUUAGUUAAUACAUAAUAUUAGUAUGUCAAUCUAAAGUAAUCUAUAAUGAUAAUCUUCU
rnacentral:tRNA from 1 species